rnacentral:rRNA from 1 species
CCUACGGGAGGCAGCAGUGAGGAAUAUUGGUCAAUGGACGAGAGUCUGAACCAGCCAAGUAGCGUGAAGGAUGACUGCCCUAUGGGUUGUAAACUUCUUUUAUAUGGGAAUAAAAUGUUCCACGUGUGGGAUUUUGUAUGUACCAUAUGAAUAAGGAUCGGCUAACUCCGUGCCAGCAGCCGCGGUAAUACGGAGGAUCCGAGCGUUAUCCGGAUUUAUUGGGUUUAAAGGGAGCGUAGGUGGAUUGUUUAGUCAGUUGUGAAAGUUUGCGGCUCAACCGUAAAAUUGCAGUUGAAACUGGCAGUCUUGAGUACAGUAGAGGUGGGCGGAAUUCAUGGUGUAGCGGUGAAAUGCUUAGAUAUCACGAAGAACUCCGAUUGCGAAGGCAGUUCACUGGACUGCAACUGACACUGAGGCUCGAAAGUGUGGGUAUCAAACAGGAUUAGAUACCCUAGUAGUC